CACCCGUGCCUUUCAGGCAUCCUCUCCCAAACUUUCAAGCCCGGCCUUUGUGCCGGGCUUUUUUUGUGCCCUUU
rnacentral:sRNA from 1 species